rnacentral:rRNA from 1 species
AGAUGGCGACCGGCGCACGGGUGAGUAACACGUAUCCAACCUGCCGAUAACUCGGGGAUAGCCUUUCGAAAGAAAGAUUAAUACCCGAUGGCAUAAUUUAGACCGCAUGGUCUUAUUAUUAAAGAAUUUCGGUUAUCGAUGGGGAUGCGUUCCAUUAGGCAGUUGGUGAGGUAACGGCUCACCAAACCUUCGAUGGAUAGGGGUUCUGAGAGGAAGGUCCCCCACAUUGGAACUGAGACACGGUCCAA